GCGCUGGUAGCUCAGUGGUAGAGCGAGGGCCUUUUAAGCCCGAGGUCGUGGGUCCGAUCCCCACCCAGCGCACCA
rnacentral:tRNA from 3 species